rnacentral:rRNA from 1 species
UGUCUAGGCGGCACGUCAAGUCGGAAGUGAAAUCCCACGGCUUACCCGUGGAAUUGCUUUCGAAACUGGCGAGCUUGAGUACGGGAGAGGAGAGCGGAAUUCCCGGUGUAGCGGUGGAAUGCGUAGAUAUCGGGAAGAACACUCGUGGCGAAGGCGGCUCUCUGGACCGCUACUGACGCUGAAGCACGAAAGCCAGGGGAGCGAACG